rnacentral:rRNA from 1 species
GUCGUGAUCCGGGGCCGCUGCAGAGCUUGAUCCUGGCUCAGAACUAACGCUGGCGGCGCGUCUUAAACAUGCAAGUUGAGCGGACAGAAGACUGAUGACUGAGUGGCAGAAAGCUGAGGUAAAUAUAGCAAAUAUCAGUUUUUUGAUUUUUGGUCUUUUUUUGAACUGAGAAGUACGGGACAUGGGACGAGUGCAUUUUUUACCUGCAAUUCGCAAGAUAUUGCCACAGUUUACAGGAAACUGUAUCUAUGCUUUUUGAGCAUAGCGAGAAAAGCCAAGCAAACGAAGUUUCGCACCCGCAAGCGUGUAGUUUGCGUGAACCGUCCUCUGUCCUCCGUCCUCAGUCUUCUGUUAGCGGCGAACGGGUGAGUAAUACAUGAGUAACCUACCUUUAAGUUGGGGAUAACUUCUCGAAAGGGAAGCUAAUACCGAAUGUGUCCAGCAAUUCACAAGGAUGGUUGGGUAAAGGAGUAAUCCGCUUAGAGAUGGGCUCAUGCCUGAUUAGCUAGUUGGUAGGGUAAUGGCCUACCAAGGCGACGAUCAGUAGCCGGCCUGAGAGGGUGAACGGCCACAAUGAACUGCGACACGGUCCAUACUUCUACGUGAAG